AGAAAAUAUUACACAAUGCAUUAAGCUUUGCAUACAUAAUGAGCGGUGCUGGGUUUAGGGCGUUUUGUAAUACAUACUUAUUUGUUACAAUUUCACAGCAUAGACGAGUUCUAAACAUACAUUUCAAGGGUUCAGAAGCACAGAAUUGUUUUGGCGGGUUGGCGACAUUCACUUAAGCUUACUUAACGCUCACUGAGAAAAGCAAUUGCAGCGACCUGAAGAGCAAGCAGACGGAUUGCUAUCGAAGUCGAAAAACAUCUUAUUCGCUCUGGCCAUGACUGAGGUUGGUCUGUGUCGUACAACAUCGCAGCUCAAUAAAUACACGAAUCCCAGUGGAGAAAUAAAAACUAUGGAAGUUAGCCCUGUGCACUACUGUCUUUUCAUGAGCAUUUGCAACACGAAGCUAUAUCCAGAAUAUCCAGACGAUGCGGGUGUAUUCGUGUAUCUGCACAAUCCCUACGAUGUGGUUUCGCCCGGCCAUAUAACCAACGUCUACCAGACAGCUGCACCAGGCAGAGUUUUGACCGUUGACUUGGAGAUUAGCUCAUUCAGCGCCGAAGAUGAGGUGCGCGAUUUGCCAUCAGAGUAUCGAAAGUGUCGCUACCCGGACGAAAGUAAUCUGCAGUAUUUUGAGACCUACACCACAGCUUUGUGUUGCAUGGAACGUCGCAUUCACAGAGCCAUAGAGCUCUGUAAGUGCAAGCCGCACUUCUAUGUUGUGGCGCCCGAUCUGCCCGUUUGCAACAUCGAUCAGCUGCUGUGUUUACAUCGUCAAAAUUGGUCGCAGACAAACUGCACCGAUUGCGUUCAGCUCUGUGAGUAUAUGUUCUAUGUGCAGCUGCAGCAAAGCCUUUCGCCCUUCUUACAGAACGAGGGUUUUCUCAGCCAGAAAUUCGAACGCACCGUCGUUAUCCAACUUAGUCUGCCCUAUCGAGGCAUACGUCGGCGUGUGGUCUUCAGCUCUGACCAGUUAGUGGUCUCUUUUGGCGGUGCGGUUAGCCUCUUCCUGGGCGCUAGCUUCAUGACCUUCAACACAAUGGUGAAACUCUUUGGCGAAUUUGUUGCUCUCAAUUGUAUGUGCUUUUGGCGGCAACGAAGAGAGCGGCGAAAGCGCAGGAAGCUGGUGCGUGAAGUGAGGGCCUUUUAGAGGCACCAAAAAUAAAGGAAAUACCACACAAGUCGUGCUUUCGUGGGGAAUGGUCUCAAUAUAGUAUAGAAUUGAUUUGCAGAAUGAUUGCCGCUAAUGCGAACAAAGCUAUCACGUGACACAAAAGCUGCUUGUAAUGAAAUGGCAGUUGAAAUUAUACAGAAAAAUGAAAUAUGUCAUCGCAUCGAAGGGUAAAAUUCAAAAAAAAAAAAUCGCUUCUCUUUUCACUCGUACACUUUUUGCUUUUAACU
rnacentral:misc_RNA from 1 species